GGAGAAGAAGCCGAUCGCCCUGGUAAACGCCAGCCGACUGCAAAGCUCCUGCCGUGCCGUAUUGUGCCGUGAAAUAAUUAUAUCGCUACUCGAAGGAUGUCUCUUGGCAAGAGGUACCUACGCAAUGACCCCCACACAUGUCUGGACUCCUCCGGCGAAAGCAUCUCCUCUCCCGGUGUCGCGGGGACGGACAGAGCGACGGCCACGUUCGGAAGCUGCAUCUGCUGCCUCGGAGUUCUGCUAGUCGCCGUCGUCAUCUUCGUCCACUUGGCCCUCGGUCAGCCCUCGGCGUUACUGAAUCCCCCCACUGAUCAGCUGGAACCCCUCACUGCCUUGACGUUCGACCGCCAGCAGCCAAGGAACACG